rnacentral:rRNA from 1 species
UGGGAAGUUUAUGGACAAUGGGCGCAAGCCUGAUCCAGCAAUGCCGCGUGAGUGAAGAAGGCCUUCGGGUUGUAAAGCUCUUUUGUCAGGGAAGAAACGGCUGUGGCUAAUAUCCACGGCUAAUGACGGUACCUGAAGAAUAAGCACCGGCUAACUACGUGCCAGCAGCCGCGGUAAUACGUAGGGUGCAAGCGUUAAUCGGAAUUACUGGGCGUAAAGCGUGCGCAGGCGGUUUUGUAAGUCUGACGUGAAAUCCCGGCGUAUACCUGGGAAUGGCAUUUGUGACUGGAAGGCUAGAGUGUGUCAGAGGGGUGGAGAAUGAUCCACGUGUAGCAGUGAAAUGCGUAGAGAUGUGGAGGAAUACCGAUGGCGAAGGCAGCCCCUCGGUAGGUAAUACACUGACGCUCAUGCACGAAAGCGUGGGGGAGCAAACAGGAUUAGAUACCC